rnacentral:rRNA from 1 species
UACGAAGGGGGCUAGCGUUGCUCGGAAUCACUGGGCGUAAAGCGCACGUAGGCGGCUUGUUAAGUCAGGGGUGAAAUCCUGGAGCUCAACUCCAGAACUGCCUUUGAUACUGGCGAGCUUGAGUCCGGGAGAGGUGAGUGGAAUUGCGAGUGUAGAGGUGAAAUUCGUAGAUAUUCGCAAGAACACCAGUGGCGAAGGCGGCUCACUGGCCCGGUACUGACGCUGAGGUGCGAAAGCGUGGGGAGCAAACAGG